GAGCACAUUGGUGAUGUCUUGGGUGCCCUACGUGACUGUCGAGCUGCUCUCUCCGUCGACCCAAACCAUCAAGAAAUGUUGGAAUUUCACAGUCGCGUAAACAGCCAUGAACUUUGAAUCCAGAAGGCCAAAACUAAACUAUGGCAUGCAAGAGAAAUACUUGGUUCUUAUCAUCACCCUGCAACCUGUAUACUAUUCAUUCCUCAUCCUCA
rnacentral:misc_RNA from 1 species